GGGCUCGUAGCUCAGCUUGGCUGGAGCGUUCGACUGAUAAUCGAAAGGUCAUGAGUUCGAAUCUCAUCGGGCCCACCA
rnacentral:tRNA from 4 species